UACGAAGGGGGCUAGCGUUGCUCGGAAUCACUGGGCGGAAAGGGUGCGUAGGCGGGUUUUUAAGUCAGAGGUGAAAUCCUGGAGCUCAACUCCAGAACUGCCUUUGAUACUGAAAGUCUUGAGUAUGGGAGAGGUGAGUGGAACUGCGAGUGUAGAGGUGAAAUUCGUAGAUAUUCGCAAGAACACCAGUGGCGAAGGCGGCUCACUGGCCCAUUACUGACGCUGAGGCACGAAAGCGUGGGGAGCAAACAGG
rnacentral:rRNA from 1 species